UCUAAUAACAUAUAAUAAAUAUUAUGUAAUUCUUCCAUCACCUGACUAAGUCAAGAGGCAGAGUAACUGGCAAAGAAAGAGCUCUGCUGGCCAAGCUGGCAGGUGGAAAACAGAGAGUUUUCACCCAACUUCCUUCUUGCCAGGGUCUCAGGUAAAAAAAAAAGCUUACAUGGGGUUUCUGAAGAGUCUAAUUUUAGCUGUAGUCAGGUGGUCAAGGAAGGGUUAUCAAUUCUUGCCAUAGUCAAUUCUGCAAGAAUUUGACGUGGAUUUGAUGGUGUCCACAGGUCCAAGCAUUCCAGACGUUCCUGGUUCCUGUAAACCUAAAGAAAGAUUACUGAGUAGGAGGCCAUAUGAUUGGUAUUGUUCUUCGAUGUUUUUCUUUAUUCUUCCUUACAGGCAGGGCUGAAUUUGUCGGUUAAUUAUUUGGGAAGUGAGAAUAGGGAGUGAGGCAAAACAGAAACAAGUGAAACACUGACUUGCUAGUGUUAGAAGUGAGUUAAUCAGCUCAUGGCCUCCAGUUAUACUGUGACGUAAGAAAUUUACUUUUUGGUCUUCAUUCACUUUCCUGGAUCACAGCUUCUAAAAGCUGUAGAAAGUAGAGCUAAAGAGAAUUUUUUGUUGUUGUUGUUAUCAUAUUUGGAUUUUGUCCUCGGUUCCUGUAAUAGCAUAACAAUGAAAAAAGGGUCUUGCGAUAUUCAUAACGAAUCCCUUUCAACUGCACAUGGGUGUGUGUUAAAGAGGUGACUUCUGGAUGUUCCCUAGUGAACCACUGUUGGGGGCUGGUUAUCAGGGAAAUUGAUUGAAGGAUUGGGAUUUUCUGCACCCCUUCCCAACCUCCAGGUAGGGGAAAGGGACUGCAGAUUGACUUAAUCCCCAGUGCCAGGGAUUUGAUCACUCAUGUCUAUGAAUGAUGCCUCUAUAGAAACCCAAAAAGAUGGGGUUUGGAGAGCUUCCAGCUCAGGGAACCAGAGCACAUCUAUGUGCCAGGAGGACAGUUCCCCACAGAGCUCCAAGGGACAGAAGCUCCUGUACUCAGACAGUUCUGGAUCUUGUCCUGUGUAUCUCUUUAUCAGGUUGUUUGUCCUUUAAUACAGACCAGUCAUCCAGAAAAUAAACUAUUUUUCUGAGUUCUAUGGUCUGUUCUAACAAAUGAUUGAACCUGAGGGAGCCUCAGGGAACCUCCAAUUUGUAACUACACUGGGCAGAAAUUAGUGGGUAAUCUGGGGAUCUGGCAUCUGAAGUUGGGAGUUGGAGGAGAAGUCUUGUGGGGCUUAACUCUUAUCCUAUGGGGUCUGAUGCUAUCCCUGGGUUAAGUCUGAAUUGAGUUAAAUGUGUCGGUAAACCCUACACAUUUGCUGAUUAGAAGUAUUGUUGUGAGUGGCAGAGUUGAGAGAAAACAUUGAAUUGCUUCAAAUUUCAGUGUCAUCAACCCUUAAAAUGUACCUAAAUUGAAGCUCAAGAAAUUCAUCCUUCCUCCCUUCCUUCCUUCCUUCCUUCCUUCCAAGCUGCUUUCUCCCUGAUGGAGGAAAAUCCAUGGCAAAGCCUUUUGCUCAGCCUUUUUUGAGGUUUAUUUCUUAAUUUCCCAAAUUCACUCAGGUUUUGUCUCCCUAGGAACAAGAAGACUAGCUUCCCUUCUCAGUGUCAAUGACA
rnacentral:lncRNA from 1 species